GACGAACGCUGGCGGCGUGCUUAACACAUGCAAGUCGAACGGAAAGGCCCUGCUUUUGUGGGGUGCUCGAGUGGCGAACGGGUGAGUAACACGUGAGUAACCUGCCCUUGACUUUGGGAUAACUUCAGGAAACUGGGGCUAAUACCGGAUAGGAGCUCCUGCUGCAUGGUGGGGGUUGGAAAGUUUCGGCGGUUGGGGAUGGACUCGCGGCUUAUCAGCUUGUUGGUGGGGUAGUGGCUUACCAAGGCUUUGACGGGUAGCCGGCCUGAGAGGGUGACCGGCCACAUUGGGACUGAGAUACGGCCCAGACUCCUACGGGAGGCAGCAGUGGGGAAUAUUGCACAAUGGGCGGAAGCCUGAUGCAGCAACGCCGCGUGCGGGAUGACGGCCUUCGGGUUGUAAACCGCUUUCGCCUGUGACGAAGCGUGAGUGACGGUAAUGGGUAAAGAAGCACCGGCUAACUACGUGCCAGCAGCCGCGGUGAUACGUAGGGUGCGAGCGUUGUCCGGAUUUAUUGGGCGUAAAGGGCUCGUAGGUGGUUGAUCGCGUCGGAAGUGUAAUCUUGGGGCUUAACCCUGAGCGUGCUUUCGAUACGGGUUGACUUGAGGAAGGUAGGGGAGAAUGGAAUUCCUGGUGGAGCGGUGGAAUGCGCAGAUAUCAGGAGGAACACCAGUGGCGAAGGCGGUUCUCUGGGCCUUUCCUGACGCUGAGGAGCGAAAGCGUGGGGAGCGAACAGGCUUAGAUACCCUGGUAGUCCACGCCGUAAACGGUGGGUACUAGGUGUGGGGUCCAUUCCACGGGUUCCGUGCCGUAGCUAACGCUUUAAGUACCCCGCCUGGGGAGUACGGCCGCAAGGCUAAAACUCAAAGGAAUUGACGGGGCCCCGCACAAGCGGCGGAGCAUGCGGAUUAAUUCGAUGCAACGCGUAGAACCUUACCUGGGUUUGACAUGGAUCGGGAGUGCUCAGAGAUGGGUGUGCCUCUUUUGGGGUCGGUUCACAGGUGGUGCAUGGCUGUCGUCAGCUCGUGUCGUGAGAUGUUGGGUUAAGUCCCGCAACGAGCGCAACCCUUGUUCACUGUUGCCAGCACGUUAUGGUGGGGACUCAGUGGAGACCGCCGGGGUCAACUCGGAGGAAGGUGGGGAUGACGUCAAGUCAUCAUGCCCCUUAUGUCCAGGGCUUCACGCAUGCUACAAUGGCUGGUACAGAGAGUGGCGAGCCUGUGAGGGUGAGCGAAUCUCGGAAAGCCGGUCUCAGUUCGGAUUGGGGUCCGCAACUCGACCUCAUGAAGUCGGAGUCGCUAGUAAUCGCAGAUCAGCAACGCUGCGGUGAAUACGUUCCCGGG
rnacentral:rRNA from 1 species